rnacentral:misc_RNA from 1 species
UCGAACUUCAUCGGAUUCACAAUUAUUCUUUCGUUGUCUUCAGUUUUAAUUCGAAUAACAACUUAAGGAAAUCAAUAGAGAAGAAGAUUCGUGUAAUGUUGGCGGUGCUAGUCUACUCGUUCGCAUCGAAUAUUCUUGCUCAUUAAAUCGGAAUGAUGGAACCGUACAAAUGCUGUAGAUGAAUAUUAAUGACUGCCAUCUGGAGUUAAGAAUAUUUGGAUGAUGUCAGGAGCAAGGAUAACGGUAUGAUGUAUAAAUUAUAUAAUAUAAUAUAUGCUAGAUUUAUUUUAG